UACGGAGGAUCCAAGCGUUAUCCGGAUUUAUUGGGUUUAAAGGGUGCGUAGGCGGAUUGAUAAGUUAGAGGUGAAAUGUCCGAGCUCAACUCGGGAACUGCCUCUAAUACUGUUGAUCUAGAGAGUAGCUGCGGUAAGCGGAAUGUAUGGUGUAGCGGUGAAAUGCUUAGAGAUCAUACAGAACACCGAUUGCGAAGGCAGCUUACCAAUCUAUAUCUGACGUUGAGGCACGAAAGCGUGGGGAGCAAACAGG
rnacentral:rRNA from 1 species